rnacentral:snoRNA from 1 species
CCCCUGGAUGACGAUGAAGUCAUCUCCUACAUCCUUGCAGGGUUGGAUAUGGAGUACCAGCCCCUAGCGUCGGCCCUUGACGCCCGCACCGAACCAGUCACCCUCGAAGCUCUCUUUGCUGAGAUGAGCAAUUUUGAUC